UACUAAGGCCCUAGUGAGAGAGUUCCUGUUCAGUGACAUGACGCUACAGAAACCGUUUCGUAAUGAGCUGUUGCAGCUGUAUGACUUGGUCUCGAAGAAAAGCAUUGAGUUCCAGGUGCUGGGCACAUGGGAGUUAUCAAGAUCAACAGUUCUCACAAUGAUCGGGAGUAUUUCGACAUUCUUGACAGUCAUGACUCAAUUUAGAGUGAAGUUUUAAUUCAAUAUAAGGCUACUCGCCAUGUUUAACUAUUGUAAGGCAACCAUAGUAUAAUUAUAACUAGUAAGGUGUUUGUUUGUGUGCUGGUUUCCUCACGGUGUUUUUCAUCACCCUUAGAGCGUCGCGUAAACGUUCAUAUGAAUUCGGAAAAUCGACAACAAAUUGUUACGGUACCUACCAGGGUAUCAAACCGGCACCUCUUGCUUGAGAGCCUACGGAUCUUGGCUCCAUCGACGCACUUAUGUUAUAUUAUAUAUAUAUAUUUACCAGUCGUUGAAUUAAUUUCCUUUUAAUUCACUAGUAGAGUUUCGCACUUUUCCUCUUUUUAACCUUGAGCUGUUCCCAAGCAUUAAUAUUUUAUGGAAGUUAUUUAUCUGAGUCAAAGAAGACUUGUGUUGUACCCUGCCAUACGAUGG